rnacentral:rRNA from 1 species
CCUACGGGUGGCUGCAGUGAGGAAUAUUGGUCAAUGGGCGCGAGCCUGAACCAGCCAAGUCGCGUGAGGGAAGACGGUCCUCUGGAUUGUAAACCUCUUUUGUCGGGGCGCAAAAGACGCCACGCGUGGCGUUCCGAGAGUACCCGAAGAAAACGCAUCGGCUAACUCCGUGCCAGCAGCCGCGGUAAUACGGAGGAUGCGAGCGUUAUCCGGAUUUAUUGGGUUUAAAGGGUGCGCAGGCGGAAGAUCAAGUCAGCGGUAAAAUUGAGGGGCUCAACCUCUUCGAGCCGUUGAAACUGGUUGUCUUGAGUGAGCGAGAAGUAAGCGGAAUGCGUGGUGUAGCGGUGAAAUGCAUAGAUAUAACGCAGAACUCCGGUUGCGAAGGCAGCAUACCGGCGCUCAACUGACGCUCAUGCACGAAAGUGUGGGUAUCGAACAGGAUUAGAUACCCUUGUAGUC